AUUGAACGCUGGCGGCAGGCUUAACACAUGCAAGUCGAGCGGGGGAAGGUAGCUUGCUACUGGACCUAGCGGCGGACGGGUGAGUAAUGCUUAGGAAUCUGCCUAUUAGUGGGGACAACAUCUCGAAAGGGAUGCUAAUACCGCAUACGUACUACGGGAGAAAGCAGGGGAACUUCGGACCUUGUGCUAAUAGAUGAGCCUAAGUCGGUGUAGCGAGUUGGUAGGGUAAAGGCCUACCAAGGCGAAGAACUGUAGCGGGUCUGAGAGGAUGAUCCGCCACACUGGGACUGAGACACGGACCAGCGUCUUACGGGAUGCAGCAGUGGGGAAUUGUGGACAAUGGGCGAAAGCCUGAUCCAGCCAUUCCGCGUGAGUGAAGAAGGCCUUCGGGUUGUAAAGCUCUUUCGGCAGGAACGAAACGGCUCUUUCUAAUACAAGGAGUCAAUGACGGGACCUGAAGAAGAAGCACCGGCUAACUACGUGCCAGCAGCCGCCGUAA
rnacentral:rRNA from 1 species